AACGAACGCUGGCGGCAGGCUUAACACAUGCAAGUCGAACGCCCCGCAAGGGGAGUGGCAGACGGGUGAGUAACGCGUGGGAACAUACCCUUUCCUGCGGAAUAGCUCCGGGAAACUGGAAUUAAUACCGCAUACGCCCUACGGGGGAAAGAUUUAUCGGGGAAGGAUUGGCCCGCGUUGGAUUAGCUAGUUGGUGGGGUAAAGGCCUACCAAGGCGACGAUCCAUAGCUGGUCUGAGAGGAUGAUCAGCCACAUUGGGACUGAGACACGGCCCAAACUCCUACGGGAGGCAGCAGUGGGGAAUAUUGGACAAUGGGCGCAAGCCUGAUCCAGCCAUGCCGCGUGAGUGAUGAAGGCCUUAGGGUUGUAAAGCUCUUUCACCGAUGAAGAUAAUGACGGGAGUCGGAGAAGAAGCCCCGGCUAACUUCGU
rnacentral:rRNA from 1 species